rnacentral:rRNA from 1 species
UACGAAGGGGGCUAGCGUUGUUCGGAAUUACUGGGCGUAAAGCGCGCGCAGGCGGUCUUCCAAGUCAGUGGUGAAAGCCUGGAGCUCAACUCCAGAACUGCCAUUGAAACUGUUAGACUUGAGUACGAGAGAGGUGAGUGGAAUUCCCAGUGUAGAGGUGAAAUUCGUAGAUAUUGGGAAGAACACCGGUGGCGAAGGCGGCGACCUGGUCCGAUACUGACGCUGAGGCGCGAAAGCGUGGGGAGCAAACAGG